UGUGAGGGGGUGUGCUUGGCACGAAGAAUUUUGAUUUCUUAAGAAAAAGAUCACCUCUUUUCCUUACAG
rnacentral:tRNA from 1 species